UACGUCGCCGCAAAGCACGUGUCAAAUGCUCCCAAUGACGAAAACGGGCCUUUCACCUGUUUCCUGAACUCGUCCCGAAUCGCUGUGUAAACGGGUGGUACGAAUCGGGUUAUCACCGUACCGGAAUCGAUGAUGGUGCCAGCGCCGGUGUUCGGGUUGAAGGCUAAGAGUUCUGGUUCGACGGGGACGAGGACUCGGCCGACGCUGAUUCCGGUUAGGUUGACGUAGUAGAGAGAUGGGCGGUGUGGGUUAUGUAAAAGUGGAGUAGUCCGGAUGUUUUUGGGUUGACCCACCGGACCAAGUUUUAGGGAUCCGGAAAAGUAGUAGGAUCUGAAGCUGGGCAAACAGUAGGAGAACACACCGGAGUAAAGCGACUGGGACUGUGAGAUCAACGACAUGGGUCCCCGACCCAGACCCAGUAACCCUUGGGGCGGAAUUGACCCGCCCGAGAUGCUGUUUAUGCAUCCAAAGACGAAAUUAGGAAGGACGUCGUUCGCCAAUGCAAGAGAAUCUUGCACAAGCGUGGCGGAUAACGAGGAGUCUCCGCCGUAGGAUUGGUUAAAGAGGCAAGCGGAAUUCCCGGUCUCCGGACACGAGAGGCCUCGUACUUGGGUACAUUGGGUCAUGGAGCAGUCCAACGACCUGUACGUGGAAGAGGUAUUGGGUUGAAAAGUGGUUGCAGAGCACCCAGUACAGCCGGCACAGGGGACCCA
rnacentral:lncRNA from 1 species